AGNAUAAGCAUUACAGNGAAACUGGGCUCAUUAUAUAANUUAUCGUUUAUUUGAUAGUACCUUACUACAUGGAUAACCGUGGUAAUUCUAGAGCUAAUACAUGCUGAAAAUCCCGACUUCGGAAGGGAUGUAUUUAUUAGAUUCAAAACCAAUGCCCUUCGGGGCUCCAAUGGUGAUUCAUGAUAACUUCUCAAAUCGCACGGCCCCGCGCCGGCAAUGGUUCAUUCAAAUUUCUUCCCUAUCAACUUUCNAUGCUACGGNAGUGUCCUANCAUGGUUGCAACGGGUAACGGGGAANA
rnacentral:rRNA from 1 species